rfam:Triticum aestivum genome assembly, contig: Triticum_aestivum_CS42_TGACv1_scaffold_501338_6BL
GUAGUACUCCCUCCGCCCGGAAAUACUUGUCGGAGAAAUGCAUGUAUCUAGAUGUAUUUUAGUUCUAGAUACAUCCAUUUUUAUUCAUUUUCUCUGACAAGUAUUUCCGGACGGAGGGAGUAGUAA